ensembl:lncRNA
AAUCUACCCCAUCUGCCCUCCCAUCACAAUUCUUAGCAUUUUAAACUCAGGGUACACCUUAGAAUACACGUUUAAGUGCUGAGGGGAGGCGUUUAUUUUAAACAACUGAUGCCCAGGCCCCGCUCCAGACCAAGUCAAUCAGAAUUUCUAAGAACAGGCCCUGGGUAUCAGUAUUUUUAAAAGGUCCCAGGUGAUUUUAAGGUACUUCCACAGUUGAGCGAGGUUGCUUUUAGCCAUCACCUAGAGGGCUCGUCACCAGAGGGGACUGAAAUCGCAGAUUCCAAAAACAAAGACCUUGUAGAAUUUAAAAUUUGGAAGCCUGUUGCUUACAAUGAAAUCAGCUGGCUAGUCAGCCUUCACCAUCAAGAUCUAAAGCCACCUUGAACAGAUACAGCAUUCACGCCGCACCCACAAUACACCAAGAUCUGGUCCAAAUAGACAUUGUGGAGGAAUAAAAAGAAGCCCAAGGCAGAUGUUCUGCCAUCAGACCUCUCUGUCCAGAUGGAAGACCAAGAUGAAGAAACAUGGAUUAAGUUCCGUUCAUAACAACAGAAGCUGGGUUGAGCUUCUCACAGGACACGCACCGUGCCCACUGUUUUCCAGGUGCCAUCUUGGGAGACCAGGGUUCCAUCCCUGGGUUGGGAAGAUCCUCUGGAGAAGAGAAUGGAAAUCCACUCCAGUAUUCUUGCCUGGAGAAUUCCAUGGACAGAGAAGCCUGGCAGGCUACAUGGGGUCGCAAAGAGUCGGACACGACUGAGUGACUCACACGCACACACGAGUACUUAGAUUCAUAAGCACUGAAGGCUUCUGGUGGCUGGAUAGCACUCAUAUUCCCUGAAGCUCCAAAAGAGCAAUUCAGAACACUUGAAUUGAAGGAGAAUAUUAAAACUUGGUGAAUUUAGAUAAAAGAGUAUGUGAGUUUUCUGUACUGUUCGUGCAGCUGUUCUGUAAACUUGAAAUGCUUUAAAAAAAAAAAUUAAUGUUGUCCUGCUUC